rnacentral:rRNA from 1 species
UACGGGGGGGGCAAGCGUUGUUCGGAAUUACUGGGCGUAAAGGGCUCGUAGGCGGCCAACUAAGUCAGACGUGAAAUCCCUCGGCUUAACCGGGAACUGCGUCUGAUACUGGAUGGCUUGAGAUUGGGAGAGGGAUGCGGAAUUCCAGGUGUAGCGGUGAAAUGCGUAGAUAUCUGGAGGAACACCGGUGGCGAAGGCGGCAUCCUGGACCAGCACUGACGCUGAGGAGCGAAAGCGUGGGGAGCAACAGG